ACGGCAGUAGCUCAGUGGUAGAGCCCCCGCUUGGCAUGCGGGAGACCUGGGUUCGAUUCCCGGCUGCUUCU
rnacentral:tRNA from 1 species